CUGUUGGGCAUUUUGAUGUCUAAUGUCUUGAGUUUUUUAUAUAUUCUGGAUAUCAGUCCUCUGUCAGAUGUGGGGUUGGUGAAGACCUUUUCCCAUUCUGUAGGCUGUCACUUUGCCUUGUUGACCGCAUCCUUUGCUCUACAAAAGGUUUUCAGUUUCAGG